GAAUGGGAAGAGGUAUGCGAUGAGGAAUUUUCGGACAAGUCAUCCCUGCAGCAUGCAGCCGUGCACACUCUUUGCUCUCUAUCAUGUAUAUCAUCUACUUAAGAUAUCAAGCAUACUCUAGCAUAUAUGGGGUCCCAUGUCAUCUUUCACUCCAUCUAAUUCACACUCAGUGAAAGAAAAAGAUAGCUGUGAUUUCCAGGAAAAUCUAUCACGUCUCAAAUUUGGCUCCCUCUCCAUUUCUAACUUCCACUAGUCACCAAGAAAAGAAAAUUUACUACCUCCGGACGAUGACAGAGUCCCGUCUCCUCGGUACUGGCGGCGGAAGACCAGCGGUUAAGC